AACGGGAAAAACCUUACCAGUCCUUGCCAUCCUCCGGACGUAUCAGUAACGGGAUAUUUCCUUCGGGACAGCAGAAACAGGGGGGGCAGGGUUUUGGUCAGCUCGGGUCGGGAAAUUUUGGGUUAAGUUCCGCAACGAGGCCAACCCCUUUCCUCAGUAGCCAGCAGUUAGGAUGGGCACUCUGAGGAGACUGCCGGGGACAACCCGGAGGAAGGCGGGGACGACGUCAAAUCAUCAUGCCCCUUAUGGGCAGGGCUACACACGUGCUACAAUGGCGUACACAAAGGGAAGCGAACCCGCGAAGGGGAGCAAAUCCCAGAAAAGACGUCCCAGUUCGGAUUGUAGUCUGCAACUCGAUUACAUGAAGCUGGAAUCGCUAGUAAUCGCGGAUCAGAUUUCC
rnacentral:rRNA from 1 species